UACGUAGGUGGCAAGCGUUGUCCGGAAUCACUGGGCGUAAAGCGCGCGCAGGCGGCGAUCUACGUCUGGGGUGAAAGCCCGGAGCUCAACUCCGGGACUGCCUUGGAUACGGGAUCGCUUGAGGAUUGGAGAGGCAAGGGGAAUUCCACGUGUAGCGGUGAAAUGCGUAGAUAUGUGGAGGAACACCUGUGGCGAAGGCGCCUUGCUGGCCAAUUUCUGACGCUGAGGCGCGAAGGCGUGGGGAGCGAACGGG
rnacentral:rRNA from 1 species